GAUUAAGGGCGCGCGGUGGAUGCCUAGGCUCUCGGAGGCGAAGAAGGACGCGAUAAGCCGCGAUAGUCCACGGCGAGGUGCAAGUAACCCUUGACCCGUGGGUUUCCGAAUGGGGCAACCCGGCCGUCUAGAUGACGGUCAUGCAUUAUCAUGCAGGCGAACGCGGGGAACUGAAACAUCUCAUUACCCGCAGGAGAAGAAAACAAAAUGUGAUUCCCCCAGUAGUGGCGAGCGAACGGGGAAGAGCCCAAACCGGUAGCGUUUCGGCGAUACCGGGGUCAUGGGACCACGCCAUUCGAAACAAGAUGAAGUGCAAUUACCUGGAAAGGUAAGCCGCGGAGGGUGAUAGCCCCGUGCACGUCAAUUCUUGUGGAGAUAGUGGAAUCCCGAGUAGGGCGGGACACGAGAAAUCCUGCCUGAAUUCGCCAGGACCUCCUGGCAAGGCUAAAUACUCCCGAGAGACCGAUAGUGAACCAGUACCGCGAGGGAAAGGUGAAAAGUACCCCGAGCAGGGGGGUGAAAUAGACCCUGAACCCGCGCGCCUACAAGCGGUCGGAGCUGCCUUGUGCAGUGACGGCGUGCCUUUUGCAUAAUGAGCCUACGAGUUAGUCGUCACCAGCGAGGUUAAGGGCUUCAGGCCCGUAAGCCGAAGUGAAAGCGAGCCUUAACAGGGCGUCAAGUUGGUGGCGCUAGACGCGAAACCUUGUGAUCUACCCACGAGCAGGUUGAAGUCGCGGUAACACGUGAUGGAGGACCGAACCGGUAAACGUUGAAAAGUUUUCGGAUGACUCGCGGGUAGGGGUGAAAGGCCAAUCAAACUGGGAAAUAGCUCGUACUCUCCGAAAUGCAUUUCGGUGCAGCCUGUGAUGUUCUGUUCCAGAGGUAGAGCUACUGGUUGGACGCGAGGGCUUCACCGCCUAUCAAAUCCGGAUAAACUCCGAAUGCUGGAACACGAAAUCAUGGAGUGAGCCCGCGGGUGCUAAGGUCCGCGGACGAGAGGGAAAGAACCCGGACCACCGGCUAAGGUCCCGGAUGGACAGUUAAGUUGAUCAAACGAGGUGGGAUCGCGGAGACAGCUAGGAUGUUGGCUUGGAAGCAGCCAUUCAUUUAAAGAGUGCGUAACAGCUCACUAGUCGAGCGAUCCCGCGUGGAUAAUACACGGGCAUUAAACUGUCAACCGAAGCCGUGGGGUCAGCGAAAAGCUGACCGGUAGGAGAGCAUUCCUGCCAGCGUUGAAGGUCACCCGCGAGAGUGACUGGAGCGGCAUGAAAAGCAAAUGUAGGCAUAAGUAACGAUAAUGGGGGCGAGAACCCCCCACGCCGCAAGACCAAGGCUUCCCCGGCAAUGUCAAUCAGCCGGGGGUCAGCCGGCCUCUAAGGCUAACCCGAAGGGGGAUGCCGACGAGAAACGGGUUAACAUUCCCGUGCUUCUCGUCACCGUGACGCGGUGACGGGGUGAUGAAUGGACCGCGCGCUGACGGAAUAGCGCGUUGAAGGCCGUACCCUUCGAGGGUGGUAGUCAAGCACGCCACCCGAGGCGAUAGCCGAUAGUACCACGAGACUCCGGUCGAGUGGAUAGCGUCCAGGCAAUUUACCCCCGAGAAAACCCGCUAAACUUCAAGUGACGAGGAACCGUACUGUAAACGGACACACGUGGUCGGGUAGAACAUACCAAGGCGCUCGAGUGAUUCAUGGUCAAGGAACUAGGCAAAAUAGUCCUGUAACUUCGGGAUAAAGGACGCUCUAGUGAUAGAGCCGCAGAGAAAUGGCCCAGGCGACUGUUUACCAAAAACACAUGGCUAUGCCAAAUCGAAAGAUGACGUAUAUGGCCUGACACCUGCCCGGUGCCGGAAGGUUAAGAGGAGAGCUCAUCGGAAACGAGAAGGUUUGAAUUGAAGCCCCGGUAAACGGCGGCCGUAACUAUAACGGUCCUAAGGUAGCGAAAUUCCUUGUCGGGU
rnacentral:rRNA from 1 species